CGCACAUCGCCGUGCCUGCCACGCCUCCUCCUCCUCCUGCUGCUGCCCACGCGAGCGAGGGAGCGAUUCGGGAGCUCCUCGCCUCGCGUCUCCUCCGCCGCCGCGCCGCCUCGGGCUCGCUUGGUGCAGAUCGGGACCCGACGCCCGCGCCGCCGGGACGGAUCCCGCCUUGCACCAAGUGAAUCGGAGCCGGCGCAGCAAUAACUGCUCUGCCCUCGGCCGCGCCGCCGCCGCCCGCCCGACCUACUUGAUUACCGAGUCGUUCGUUUAGCCCGCUUGUUGCCUGCGUUUCUAGGAUCGGCGGCGAUGGUUGUUGGUUGCUGUGAUUCUGUGUCGCCGUGGAGGUUGAUAGCAGGGUGCCGUGCGGAUCUCUGCCUAGGUUUAGCAAUCAACACGGAUCUGGAUCUGGCGCGUAAUUUCGAUAGUUUGAUCCGAUUGAUUGGAUGAUCCGUUCUAAUAAGCAGGACCCAUCCGCUUAGUAGAUUACUUAUCUGUUUAUCUCGGCAAUUUUCUGUCCAUAACUCUACUGCAAUUUCUUAUGGCACAGGGGAGGCUUGGAUUCGCGCGUGAGGUGUAAAAUUGGACUGCGGAGAUGCCAUGUCUAGAUGACCUCGGCUUGAUUGGGCUGCACAGAGAUUAAUUGAUCUAGUUGUUAUCUGAUCGCUUUUACUGCUAGGGAUGCGCUGUGAGCCCUGUAAGGUUGAAAUUAUGGCGCAGCAAGCAUUUAAGUGCUCGCAUAUGCUUUAUUGAGCUCAUUCGCUGUAGUCUGUAGAGUGGCCUUUGUGGCACAUGCUAAUUCUGGAAAUUAAGAGUGGCCUUUGUGGCACAUGCUAAUUCUGGAAAUUAUGAUACCUGACAAUAUGUUUCUGCCUGGCUUUAUUUAUGCCAAAAUUCAGUUGAGUUGAUUGAUUCUCAUAUGUAUUGCCAUUGUUGUUAGUGGUUGUGUACGCCAGAUCCAUAUGAGGCUUGUAUAGGAGUUAAGUAUAUGCAUAUCGUCCAAAUAAGCAUAAUCCGGGUCAAAUGGGCCACUAGUUUUGAGUUUGCUCUGCCUGAAUGUUUAGAACUAGUCUUGGCCAACAUGGUGUAAUUUGGCGGGAUAGAUAUGGAGAGUGAAGCUCAAAUGCAAUCAGGAAAAAACAGUUCCUUUUAUUUUGGAAAAAAGGAAACUAGUCCCAACUGUAAGAGUAAAGGAAGUGGAACAAGCAACGGAAGCUUUUAUUGGGGUUGUAAUGUCGAGCGUUAACGGUUUUUUAUUGUUACUUUGUGGAUAUCUGAUUACAUAUUAAUUAUCUUAUUUACUUGUUUGGCUGGCUUACUUUGCUUCAUUUGUUGUAACCUAUUAAUGGAAUCUAGUUACAAGUUACAAUUCUGACAUAGCCAAUUGUUCAACCCCGUUGAAAUAGAGACCUAGUAAAGAGUAAGGCCGGGUGCGCCAAAUAAGCUGAGCCUGGCAAGGCUAGUUUGAAAUUAAUUCCAAUUCCUAAACUAGGGUUAUUACUAGCUAUAGAUGCUUAACAGCUUGACGACAAACUACUUUCAUGGUUUAUAACUUUAUUGCAUCAGUUAUGAUUGAAAUAUUAGCCCUAUAUGUGCCUAAGUUGUCCGAUAACAUAAUGAAUGCAUAUGCCGCAUAAUUGUACGUUUCCCUAUUAUUCUAAAUUUAGUUGGAAGGUCACUCUUUCUUUUUUGGCAGAUUAUUCAUGGUUUCAUUUGACGUUGCAACUUCAUUCUGGUGGACAUUGCAGAACAUUCCAUUCUUCAAGAAAGUUUCAAUUUUACUCGCUAUGAACAAUUGAAAGCAGCUACAAUGGAUAGUUUGAGGUUCAAUCUUUUUGGGUUCGUUUGAUUCUUGAUGGUUAUGCAUAUGUAAUUCUGUAUCAAUUUCUAUGUAUGGGAAAUAUACGAGUUGAUUUUUCUGGAUGGAUGUUGUGAUCUGCUUUGUUUAAAUGGUAUACCUAAACUAAAUGGAUAAGUUUCAGGAUUUGGUUGCACUGUAGUGCCAUUGAUUGGUCUGUGUAGGUAGCUUCCUAGAUGGACCCUUUUCUAUAAACUACAUCGGUACCAACCAACUUUCCCUGUUACAUACGACUUCCUAUGAGGUGAUGUCUAGAGGAUCCUUUUUGGAUGAACCCUAGAGCCUAGAAUCAUGGUGAAAUUUGCAUGCAUCUGUACUACUUAGCACCAUGAUGAAAGCUAGGAUUUACAGGGAAAAAACUGUUUCUGGGGCAAACCGGAAAUAUGGCUUGUUUCUAUUAUUAGCUGGAGACUCCACCCAAUUUCCAGCUUCCUGAACCAGUCAGUUUCGAUAUAUGGAUUUUCCAAACCUAAUUUCCUCUUUGAUUUAAAGUUACUGGGGCAAUCCGGUUGGCAAUCUGACUCGUUUCAGUUUGUGCCUGGGAACUGCUCCUAAUUUCCAGCCCCAAACUGGUCUGGUUUGGUAUCUGAAAUAUCAUAUAUUUUCUCUACCAAGAUUUAAAGUUUGAUGCAGACAUUAGAAAUAACUUUUAGGCGUUUUUGGGUACUGGGGUAGGGUAUUAGGGGUACCAUUAUUCUCAUGGUUUGGCUGAAAAAGCAGGGUGGACCAGCCAGUUACUACAGUCUUUUAACCUGGCAGCAUCAUGCUUAGGAUUUAAGCUAAGACUCAUAUGAUUGAGAUUCCAGUUGUCGGAUCCAUAUCAUUACAGAAAUAAUGAAAUGCUAUUUCUACUGAAACAGAUCCAUGUAGUGGGAGCAUGUUAGAUCUCCUUUUUCUUCAGAGGAUAAAUAUUUUUAACUGCUGAAGGUGUUCAAACAUCUUUUUUUUGUUUGAAGAAAUGUGUCAAAACAUCUUCUCCAUGAACUUAGCAAACACAACUCUCAUCAUGAUUUUGAGCAUACUACUAUAUAUAUUUGUUGAUGUUGUAGUGCCUAAGUGGGCAUUGGGUUCUUUUUUUUUUUUAACCUUUGAAAAGAGGGAGUCAGUGAUUAGGUGUCCAGGAAUAUAUGCUCGGCGAUCAAGAUUCUUUUUCCGUCAGGAAGAGGGGGGAAGAGACAAAGUAGCCGAUUGGCACUAGGUGGUCGACUGGUCGUCCAUGGCUGGCAUUUGAACUUGUUCCAGGAAAAGGGGAUUCCCUCCAUCUUUGAGCUGGAGCUGAUGAGUGAGGUGGAGUAAUUUUUAGUGGUUGGAAUAUUCCGCUAAAGCCAGGACAGCCGCCCAGGAGAACAUGUUCUGAAAAGCUGUCGAGGAAUAUUAAUAUCUGAGCCUGACACCCCCUGGAUUGACUUGAAUGAAUGAGCAGAAGCAGAGCAUGGUGGAAUUCCAGCUCCGGGUAGAUGGUACAUUGGUACCAUGGUCCAGCUUGGUGUCGGUAAAAAUUUUCACUGCUUUACAGUCUUUAUAUGUUCUCAGACUAUGAUGGUCAAUAUUUUGUUUCAUCCUGCCAUACUUUAUUUAUGUUUAAGCAUGGUGGCUGUAGAGAUCUUGCUCCAUCCUGCUGUAAUUUUCAUUUCAUGAUGAACACAUUGCUAAUGAAUUUACUUUCUCCAGUAGGAGCUAGAUUAACCUAAAAUAGUUAUUUUCCAUGUGGCGCUGGGGACAUGCAUGGCACAACUUGAGCAAAUGGGUCAGCACUCAGCACAGCACUAAUCACCCACAGGUUUUGUCUCUUCAGCAUGGAUUUUUCUUCUCCUCCAUGUUAAUGAAUUCAAAUUCCAAUUUGAACCAUGAUCCUGCUGGGCACUGUACAAAGCCGCAGCUCAGCCAGUGGGGAGGGAAGGAAUACAUGACAAACUUGACAAGGACGCGGUACUUGAUGGGAAAUCUGUACGCAGCUGCGAUCAAACAUGGUGGGCUCUGGUGCUCAGCUGAUCGAGCUGGUGUCCUUUGGCCUCCAGCGCAUGAAAAGCCUGGGCUGCUGCAGCUGCUCGUGCUCAUCAGGCCUGGUCCCCUGCCUCCCAAGCAAAAGCUUUCAACCCAGCCGCUCCCCUUUCAUUCGAAUCUGUGAAUUCCAUGGGAAAUUAUCUUUCGGAGACGUUGCUGUUUCCCUCUAGGUUACUGUGCCUUCUGUUUCAUCCUGCGCAGGUGUCGCCUCCUGUGUCUUAGCUUGUGCAGUUGUCUAGAUUGUCCAGGGAAAUGGAAUGAAAAAAAAACUCGUUGGUUUGUGUACAAAUGUUUAUGUUGCCGGCUUCAAAAUUUGAUGGAUUUUUUAAGAUUGAA